AAUAUAUGGAAAAAUAAUUAAAAAAAUCACGCUAUCAAAAUAGCAAAGAACUGCCUUUGAGUUUCUUCUUCCGAGGCUUCUCUUUGCUCUACAAAACUCUUCACUGUCAAGACUUCCCGUCUCACGGCGAAACCCACGACGGUGAUUUCCCUUCUUAGGGCGGGUUGCUUCCCUUCUCACUGAGAAACCCACUGAGGCGUGCUUCCUGGCCUUCUCAUGGCGAGAGUGAAUAAUCGAACUUAAGUGUAUAUAUAUUGAAAUCAUUUCUUGUUCCUAUGCUGCAAUGGAUAUUUCCUGAUCGGUGGCCUCAUAUUAUGUAUGAAGAAGUACGCAGAUAUGGAGUGGUUUUGGCUCUUUAUUCAACAAUGCGAAAAGUUCUGAUACAGCUCAUCUAUGUCUUCGAAAUGCAGGAAGCCAGAUCUCUGCAUCAUUCAAAUCAGAUAGAAAACACAUUGUCUUGGUGAGUGAAUACUCUUCUGUUUAUGUAUGGGACUCCAAUAAAUCAGACACAGAUCACACAACAAUUUCAUCUCACUUCAGAAGCAAGAACUUAACUCAUUGAGUGCGCUAUGUUGUUCAACGAGUGUAUGGUAGAUAGACUACAUUGAAGGAAUAAAAAACUAUACAACUCUAUUAGUUAAUGUGUUUUGUGUAGUUUAAUGUUGUGGUUAGAACAUAUUUAUGUAAUCACUUAUAUUAUAAUGACAAUUGCAAAAUUCUUUUUAUUAGAGGUUUAACUAUUUACUAUA